CACUCCUGCGGGAGGCAGCAGUGGGGAAUAUUGGACAAUGGGCGCAAGCCUGAUCCAGCCAUGCCGCGUGAGUGAUGAAGGCCCUAGGGUUGUAAAGCUCUUUCACCGGUGAAGAUAAUGACGGUAACCGGAGAAGAAGCCCCGGCUAACUUCGUGCCAGCAGCCGCGGUAAUACGAAGGGGGCUAGCGUUGUUCGGAUUUACUGGGCGUAAAGCGCACGUAGGCGGACUAUUAAGUCAGGGGUGAAAUCCCGGGGCUCAACCCCGGAACUGCCUUUGAUCCUGGUAGUCUUGAGUUCGAGAGAGGUGAGUGGAAUUCCGAGUGUAGAGGUGAAAUUCGUAGAUAUUCGGAGGAACACCAGUGGCGAAGGCGGCUCACUGGCUCGAUACUGACGCUGAGGUGCGAAAGCGUGGGGAGCAAACAGGAUUAGAAACCCUUGUAGUCCCAUGA
rnacentral:rRNA from 1 species